CCUUGGAAGGCGGGGCUCCUGGAGGGCGGGGCGCGAGGACCGGCUGCGGGGGCAGCGGGAGGUCCGAGUUCCAGUCGCUCCCGUUAGCUCCUCGGUGUCCCGGCGCGUCCCGCGAGCUCCACAGCAGCUGCGGCGGCGCCCGCGUCCCUCCGUCUCGCGCUGACACGGCACCGCCAGCCUCCUUGGGAACGGUGGGUGCAGCUCGCUUCGCUCAGCCGAGGCGGGCCCUCGCUCUCAGCCCGCGGUGCCGCGCGCGUCCAGGACUGGCGGACGGAGCGGACGCGCGAGCUAGCAGGCCCACUGGAGGCUUCCGCCCGGCGCCGGGGAGCCGCGGCCUAAGCUGCGGGGCGCUGUCCGCACCUCGCUCGCCGAGCCCGCGCUCCGCGCACCGCCGGCAGGGCGCCCCCGGAGGGACAGACCCAGGGAUGAGACGGCGUGGACUGACCGGUCAGGUGCCUGGAGCCGAGUGACACGGAUGAGACGGGUGCAUAAGCUGGGGGUGUACACCAGGUAGUGGACUGGAGGGAGACGGUGAUGGUGCAUGAACAGAGCGGACAGGUGCACGGCAUCGGUAUGACUUGACACCUAUUUCACCAACAUUACAGGUGCAAGAGUGAGCCGUUUAGUGGAAUGGUGAGAGCAGAGGGAAAAGCACCACCAGAGUGACAGAUGGCAUUCCAAGUAUCCGCUGCCGACUCCGCCGCCUGUCCGUCACCACCACCUCGCCGCCUCCUCGUCACAGCCUUCACAACACCGAGCACGACACGCCUGCCUGCUUUCAGGCACUGUGCUGAAAAUUUUCCACAGAUUACUUCAUGUAAUCAUUCGAGAGCCCUUCAAGAUAAAUACCAUUAUUAUCCUUGAACUAUGACAGAUGAAACCAGGCCAUAGAGAAAUUUAGUUAUCUACCUGAGGUCAAUGCUAAGGGGCACAACUUGGCUUCCAGUCUUCACAGGCUGCUUCCAAAACCCAGCCUCUUCAUCAGCUCUUUCUACUGGACCUCCCUGAGCCUCAGUUUUCUCAUCAGUUUUCUCUAUCAGGGAUUAAACAAAAUACACCAAGUCCUUUAUGGCUCCAAAAGUCUAUUCUUCUAAAUAAAUAUAACCAAGUUAACCUUUCAUGUAUUUAGUAAUAUACAUAAUCAUAUAAUCACGAUAGGCUGGUGAUAAUGUCACAUGAAAGGUCAGCUUUCACCUAAUUGACAAUUAUUAACAUCAUGGUAACACAGUUAAAUCAAGCAUUCCCAGGAUCUGCUGGGUCCUCUGUACUGAUCAGAGAGGGCAGAAGGCCACACACCAGGAGUGACUGCGGACAGGGCACCUGUCCUGCACCCUAAGCCCAGUGGGCCACAGGAUUGAAGGUUGUGCGCCCGUCCCAAAGAUGUAAGCAAGCGUGACAACUGGGGUCCCCAGAGCUCCUAACAGGGAAUGUCUAUGUAGUACCCUAAAUAAUGAGCAUAACAGCUACCAUCGAACCUUCAAAGGCUUCUUCCUGCCUUUAGGACCACGUCCACACCCUAAACCUGCCUACGGAAGUGUUUCUCAAAUUGUGGUGAUAGACUUUUUUUCCAGUUUUAUUGAGGUGGCAGAAUAAUUUUUAAUCUCUAAUCCAUUGUAAACCAUGAGAUUAGAGGUUUAAAUUUUUAUGUUUCUAAAGUAUAGUAAAACAAACUCCUAGCAUAGUAAAUUUUAAAAGACAUACAAUCUCAACAGACCUAAAAUUACAUUUCAAUAAAUCUAAUCAGAACACACAGAACAGGGAAAAAUUACAGAAGCUAUAUACAUUGUUUAUUGAAAGUGUGCAGGCAGCAGAUUAAAAUGGAGAACUGCUGAUUACAGUCAUAACUUUUGUCAUUCAUGAUCAUAAACAACAAAAAGUCAUAAAGGAAACAGCAGUUCCCUCUAUUAAAUUGUUUUACUCAUACUUUGAAUAAAUAUUGCAAGUAUCAGUAGUUGAGCCUAUUUUCUGCUUGUUAACUUAUCUAAGCUGGAUGACAAUGAAUCCACUGUCUGUGGAAAACACACAUCUAUGUUUUGUUUUAUGAACACUCAGAAAAACCAGUCUCACCAAGGUAAUUUGACAGAAAUGGGAGAAAAUGAAUUACAGUAAACUCAGGAGGUUGUUUUUAAUUUUUAUCUAGAGUGAGGCAAGUAAUGUUAUAUUUUCAAAAAAUCCAUCUUUAAUCAAAAAUUAAUCAUGUAAAGUCAUGGUUAAAUUUAUAUUAUCAUUCAAAAAUUGGAAGGAAUGCUGAGGGGAGGGUGAAGAGGUAAAGGGACACAAAAAUUCUCUAUCAUUAUUUGAGUUGGUCACGGGGACAGCAGUGCAGCGUGGAGAACACAGCCAAUGGUUCUGUGACAUCUUCCUGUGUUGACAGAUAGUGACACACAAGUGGGGGUGAGGAUUUAAUA